ensembl:lncRNA
UUUGGCUUCUACAAGUCUCUGAUGACACUCAUGCACUUUGUGGUGACUGAUGGAGGAGAGAGAACCGUCUACUUCCACAACAUAUCGUCCAGUGACACCAUCAAGCUCAGGGAGGAUCUGAGGAACCUGCUCCGCAUCAAGAACUUCCUGCCUCUGAUGAACAGACUUUUCAUCGAGUUCGAGAGCGUUUUGGACGCCGAUCUGUACGGGAUUCGGCUGAGCGGCCAGAUGUUUGCCCAGAAGUACACGGUCUACAGGAUGAAGUCCCCCAGCAGUGCAGCGGAACCAUCCACAGGUGACGCUCCUGCCGGUUUAUGCAACUUCACCCGACUCCAGAUUCCUCUAAAGUCCCGCUCCCAUCAUCUUCUGAUCUAUUCUGAAAGCGUUCCCAGUGGUCUUUGAACUCUGAUGAUGCUGUUUUUAGAGCAAAUAAAAAAAAACGUAUAGUUCCUGCAGAGCGGCAGGAGUGCUGUAGAAAUUCACCUCUGAGUUUUGGGCCCCUCCCUCAAGGAUUUGAAUAAAAAUACUCAUUUUCUGAAUAUAUGUCCUCGACAUCAGGAAAAUGCCACAAGAACACGUUAAAAAAAGGCAUUUUUAUCAGAGCGUGACUUAAAGUUUACUAAUAAAUUCCAGUUUUUUAUUCUUCCCUUAAACUUUAUUUACAAAAAAAACAGUUUUGUUUUUUAACAGUAAAUGCAGUUGGAGAAUUUCCUUACUGAUCAUAUUUUUGCAUGAAUAUGUUCAACACUAAAGCUCCGGAAUGGCGUACGCCUCCUUUUUGGAUGACCAUGAAAACGGCGCCGUUCCUGUACCCGACAGCGACGCACUCCUUCAUCAGUCCAGCUUGUGUGUCCGUUGAUCAGCCGGCUGACAUCGUGAAAGCGGCCGUCAUUGGCUCAGAGUUUGCCACGGUCAUGCUGAGCGGUCUACCGGAAGACGGCUACACCCACGAGGACGUGGCCAAGCUGGUGUGGCCGUUCUUCAGCACGCCCAACUUCCAGGUCCUGAACCAGAACCUGUACGUCCUGCCCCUGCAGAGGAGGAGCACUGUGUACAAGAGUCUGAUGAAAUGGAGCAGUCCUCUGAAGCCAGACCCAGAGUUUCUGAAUAACCGGCUGCUGUCAGUGGAGGUGACUGACACUUCAGCAGCCCUGGUCAUGACGAUCAUGAAGGUGGUGGAUUCCAUAUCUCCUUUCGUUAACUUCCUGCCCCUGGCCAAUCGGAUCUACGUUGAGAUGCUUUCCGUCAUGGCCGUGAUCGACGUUCAGCUGAAGAUUUCCUCCAUGAAGCCCUCGGAGCUGCCCUCCGACUGGAAGAAAGUCAAGCGUAUUGAACCCAUGAGUACCCUACAGCAGCGGCUGAUCAAGUGUAGCCAAACCCCUCUUUACCUUAAACCCGACCCCCCACCAAAAACAAAGAAGAAGAAGAAAAAGAAAAGCCAAAGAAAAGCCCACAUGGAAGCCGGUCCCGUCACAGCAGGCGACUGCGUCGACUACAUCGCCCACAACCGCGUCCCCCGCACCUCGGCGGCCGCCGCCAGGGUCUUGAUAGCAGCCGAGUUAACCGAAGAAGCACAAAGAAAAACCGGACCCGGAGUGCCGGCAAACACCGGAACCUCUCCACACCUUUCUGAGAUGGGGUCACAGCUAACCGAUUCUAGAGAAGACUCUGCUCAGGAAGAGAAGAAAGGAACUGGUGAGGAGGAGGAGGAGGAGGAGGAGGGAACGCUCCAAGGAGGUCAAAACCUUGCAGGCCCACCUAAGAAUGAAGAGAUGAAGGGAGAGCAAAAGGAUGAAGACUUGGAGGAAAAUCAGCAAAACAAUUCUUCUCAGGGAUUUUCCAACUCAUGUCCUGAAGGCGAGGAUUUGGAGCCAGGCCUCACCAUCAGACAGGUUCCUGAGAAACCAGCAGCUGACGACGACCAGCAUCAAAGUCCAAGAGGAGACGAAGGAAACGGGGAGGAAAUCUGUUUAGAGUCUUCAACCUCCAAAGAGGAAAGGCUUCAAGACUUAUCUGGAGAUUUUAUGGAGCAAGAAAGAAGUGAACCUGCAGCUGCCGAUCCCAUCGGAGCAGGAGACGACCGUCUGACACUUGUAACCAUGACGAAUCAGGCCAGAGAUCCUGAGGAAGGUCAGUCACCUACAGAGACUGAAGAUGAGGUUCAACAAGAAACCAUGGAUCAUGGUGGAGAAGAGGACCAACAGGAGGGAGAGGAACCUGCAUCCCUCAUUUCCAGCCCUGCAGGCUCCAUAGGAAGGAGAAAAACCACAGACCUCGAGACGCCGACGGGAGGGAACUUCCUCGCUGACCACGCCGAGAAACUUCCAAACAUUGAAGCUACAGCUGCUCCUAAAGAGGCUCGGACAGAAACACCGGAGGAACGCGUUUUUGGAGACGAUCAGCCGACAGCAGCAGGGAAACCAAACAGAAGCCUUCCAGCUGCUACCGGGGGCUCAAUGCAGACGGACGAGGACUCCAGAGAAGCAAACGACGAAGAAGACGAGGCUCCAGACGAAGUUAAAACUUGUGGCUCCACAGCCGAGGAGACGCUGCUCCUAGAGGAGCGUUCAGAAGAACGGGCCAUAGAGGAAGCUGCUGUUGAGGUGAACCAGGAAGAAGAAUCCAGGCGGGAGGAAGAGAAGGCGGACUUCACACCAACGGAGGUGAUGCCCUGA